ACCUUUAUGGUGUAGUGGUUAGCACAUAGCAUUUACGUUGCUCAGGUCCUGGGUUCAAUCCCCAGUAAAGGUA
rfam:Spironucleus salmonicida unplaced genomic scaffold scf7180000020664, whole genome shotgun sequence.